AUUGAACGCUGGCGGCAUGCUUUACACAUGCAAGUCGAACGGUAACAGGCCUUCGGGCGCUGACGAGUGGCGAACGGGUGAGUAAUGCAUCGGAACGUGCCCAGAGGUGGGGGAUAACGCAGCGAAAGCUGUGCUAAUACCGCAUGUGAUCUGAGGAUGAAAGCGGGGGACCAAGCAGCAAUGUUUGGCCUCGCGCCUCUGGAGCGGCCGAUGUCAGAUUAGGUAGUUGGUGGGGUAAAGGCCUACCAAGCCGACGAUCUGUAGCUGGUCUGAGAGGACGACCAGCCACACUGGGACUGAGACACGGCCCAGACUCCUACGGGAGGCAGCAGUGGGGAAUUUUGGACAAUGGGCGCAAGCCUGAUCCAGCAAUGCCGCGUGCGGGAAGAAGGCCUUCGGGUUGUAAACCGCUUUUGUACGGAACGAAAAGGCUCUGGCUAAUACCUGGGGCUGAUGACGGUACCGUAAGAAUAAGCAUCGGCUAACUACGUG
rnacentral:rRNA from 1 species